CCCUUAGAUGUUCUGGGCCGCACGCGCGCUACACUGACGAAUGCAACGAGCUCAUAACCUUGGCCGAAAGGUCUGGGUAAUCUCCAAAUUUCGUCGUGAUGGGGAUAGAUUAUUGCAAUUAUUAAUCUUCAACGAGGAAUGCCUAGUAAGCGCAAGUCAUCAGCUUGCGUUGAUUACGUCCCUGCCCUUUGUACACACCGCCCGUCGCUCCUACCGAUUGAAUGGUCCGGUGAAGCGUUCGGACCGUGGCCUUUGGACGGUUCGCCGUCUGUUGGCUGCGGGAAGUUCGUUAAACCUUAUCAUUUAGAGGAAGGAGAAGUCGUAACA
rnacentral:rRNA from 1 species